GCGGUCUGUUCAGGUGGAUGAA
rnacentral:miRNA from 1 species